rnacentral:rRNA from 1 species
GAUGAACGCUGGCGGUAUGCUUAACACAUGCAAGUCGAACGGACUCUUCGGAGUUAGUGGCGGACGGGUGAGUAACGCGUGAGAAUCUGGCUUUGGGUUCGGGACAACCACUGGAAACGGUGGCUAAUACCGGAUGUGCCGAGAGGUAAAAGAGAAAUUGCCUGAAGAUGAGCUCGCGUCUGAUUAGCUAGUUGGUGAGGUAAAGGCUCACCAAGGCAGCGAUCAGUAGCUGGUCUGAGAGGAUGACCAGCCACACGGGGACUGAGACACGGCCCAGACCCCUACGGGAGGCAGCAGUGGAGAAUUUUCCGCAAUGGGCGAAAGACUGACGGAGCAAUACCGCGUGAGGGAAGAAGGCUCUUGGGUUGUAAACCUCUUUUCUUAGGGAAGAACAAAAUGACGGUACCUAAGGAAUCAGCAUCGGCUAACUCCGUG